rnacentral:SRP_RNA from 1 species
GCCGGGCGCGGUGGCGCGCGCCUGUAGUCCUAGCUACUCGGGAGGCUGAGGCAGGAGGAUCGCUUGAGUCCAGGAGUUCUGGGCUGCAGUGCGCUAUGCCGAUCGGGUGUCUGCACUAAGUUCGGCAUCAAUAUGGUGACCUCCCGGGAGCGGGGGACCACCAGGUUGCCUAAGGAGGGGUGAACCGGCCCAGGUCGGAAACGGAGCAGGUCAAAACUCCCGUGCUGAUCAGGAGACUUUGUCCACAAUCCAGUGGAAGAGUGCUGGUGGCAGACCCUGCAAUGGUGGCUAU